GGUAGUAGCAAAUACUCAAAAGAGAGCUUUGAAGGCCGAAAUGGAGAAGGGUUCCAUGUGAACAGCAGUUUAACAUUGGUCAGCCGGUCCUACGGGAUGGGCGAACACCAUUCAGAAGCGCUGGGCGAUGGCCUCGGUGGCCCCAGCCGAUCGAAAGGGAGUUUGGUUCAGAUCCCCAAACCUGUAGCGGCAGAGAUAGGCGUCAUGAGGCGCCCAGUGCAGUAACGCAAACGAACCCGGAGAAGCUGGCGGGAGCCCCGGGGAGAGUUCUCUUUUCUUUGUGAAGGGCAGGGCGCCCUGGAAUGGGUUUGCUCCGAGAGAGGGGCCCGUGCCCUGGAAAGCGUCGCUCGACACCCUACCUAAGGAGAGCCCAGUCAUGGUUGAUCAAGCCAUGCUGUGUGUCCGAGACAAAAAGAAGAGUUAAAUCGAGUUAAAUGAAAUUGAGACUGAGCUUUUUAUAUUCGUGCAGGAUCAUGUGUGAAGUCUUAAACA
rnacentral:ncRNA from 1 species